rnacentral:rRNA from 1 species
CCUACGGGGGGCAGCAGUGAGGAAUAUUGGACAAUGGUCGGAAGACUGAUCCAGCCAUGCCGCGUGCAGGAUGAAGGUCCUAUGGAUUGUAAACUGCUUUUGUAAGGGAAGAAUAAGGAGUACGUGUACUUUGAUGACGGUACCUUACGAAUAAGCAUCGGCUAACUCCGUGCCAGCAGCCGCGGUAAUACGGAGGAUGCGAGCGUUAUCCGGAAUCAUUGGGUUUAAAGGGUCCGUAGGCGGGCUGAUAAGUCAGAGGUGAAAGCGCUUAGCUCAACUAAGCAACUGCCUUUGAAACUGUCAGUCUUGAAUGAUUGUGAAGUAGUUGGAAUGUGUAGUGUAGCGGUGAAAUGCUUAGAUAUUACACAGAACACCGAUAGCGAAGGCAUAUUACUAACAAUUUAUUGACGCUGAUGGACGAAAGCGUGGGGAGCGAACAGGAUUAGAUACCCUGGUAGUC